rnacentral:rRNA from 1 species
CCUACGGGCGGCAGCAGUGAGGAAUAUUGGUCAAUGGGCGUAAGCCUGAACCAGCCAAGUCGCGUGAGGGAUGAAGGUUCUAUGGAUCGUAAACCUCUUUUAUAAGGGAAUAAAGUGUGGGACGUGUCCUGUUUUGUAUGUACCUUAUGAAUAAGGAUCGGCUAACUCCGUGCCAGCAGCCGCGGUAAUACGGAGGAGCCGAGCGUUAUCCGGAUUUAUUGGGUUUAACGGGUGCGUAGGCGGCCUUUUAAGUCAGCGGUGAAAGUCUGUGGCUCAACCAUAGAAUUGCCGUUGAAACUGGGAGGCUUGAGUAUGUUUGAGGCAGGCGGAAUGCGUGGUGUAGCGGUGAAAUGCUUAGAUAUCACGCAGAACCCCGAUUGCGAAGGCAGCCUGCCAAGCCAUGACUGACGCUGAUGCACGAAAGCGUGGGGAUCAAACAGGAUUAGAUACCCCAGUAGUC